rnacentral:lncRNA from 1 species
UGCCUCAUAGUGCGCAUGCUUGAGCCCACUUACCUAACACCUGAGAUCUUAUUGGGACGCUGCUGAUAACCAGUUUCAGAGACAGGGUUUCACCAUGUUGUACAGGCUAGUCUCCAACCCCUGGGCUUAAGCAAUCCUUCUGCCUCGGCCUCCCAAAGUGCUGGGAUUACAGAAUAAAGUGCUACAUAAAAUUUAGCAUUGAGGUUUUAAUCUUAAUUUUCAAAGAGAUACUACAGUCUAUCCAAGUUAACGUAACAUUACUUUCUCAAUGAUCACAAUGAUACUGGGAGUUGACGAGGCUUGUAACAAUCUACUGGGAUGAUGUGAGCCUUUAUUAACCUCAUCAGGUGAGAUGUGAUGUUUUACCCACACGAGCUGGUUAGCAUUUACAGUAAAGGGCACUUACACUGCACUCUUAAUACUUAUCUUUAUUAUGAAAGUGUUUCCAAAGUAAAAUGAUCCUCAUAAUAAUGAUUGCUUCCAGAGAUCAAGAAUGAAUAAUUAUAUUUUCAUAUAAAAAUCAGCAAAACACAAUAACAAUACAUAAAAUAAUUCUAAUUGGCUAACAGUAUUUCAUUCCAUUUCUGACAGAGAUGCUCAAGCACUGAAUUGUCUUAAGAAAACAAGUAAGGUUUUGUCACCUAUCCUAUUUCUCACUGCAAGUUGAAAAAAAUCAAAUCCAAACACCACCACCCCUUCUAUGACAACAAACGGCUGUGGAGGUAAAUGACUAUGUGGGCAAAGAGUUGAUGAAAAUCAUGAGCUUAGGGGCUUUAUGAAACUUUGGGAAAUCAAACUCAGAGGUUGUUUUCCAUUCUUAAAGUAAUGAAGCUCUAAGUUAAAGUUUCAGAAUCAUCACAUAACUGUUCCUAUUCCAUAACUCAUUUCUUUUUUUUUUUUGCAGGUAAUCUUAUUUUCCUAAGGGUAGUUUCAUGAUGACAGUGUCAAAAAAUUACUGUGGAUAAAGAAAAAAUUGUCUCAAUGAAAUAGAAUUUUUCACUGAACACAGAAACCAUCUCAAUAGUUGCUGCUCCCUGGUUUCCAGGCCACGCAACAGACAUCAAACCAGGAAGCCAAACUUUCAUGGACCUGUGUUAAGAAAAACACACAUACAUGGGCAUACUACUUUUUCCAGAAAAACGGAAUUAGGCAGAGAAGGAAGUGUGGGUGUACAACUGAUCCACAAGCUAUUGGGAAAUCAAUAGCUAAAAAAUGUCCACACCCUGGCUUCCUUUUAUCAGGAACUCCAGGAGGCUGAAGGAAUGUGAGUGCAUGAGAUAAGCAAGACAGAUCUUAACGGUCCCCUCACAUCCCUUUCUGGGCAAUCUCCAGAAUGCCUAGUUUUGUGGAGACACCAUGUACUAUCUGGCUGCAGAGACUUUCUUAGGUCCCGUGUUAGACCCCAUGGGGUCUCAGCAUGUGGUCAUGUGGUAAUGCAUUCCUUUCAAAGGCUUUGGGUUGAACUCAAGUUGGAAAUACCUGGAAAAGACCAAGCUUCUCCUUUGGGUGUCUGCGGAUCCUAUUAAAAAUAUUCGUGAUGUUUUAAGUUCUCCAAUACAAUUUUCUCCACGAAAACAAGCAUCAGAUACACUACCUCUAAGUAUUUAUUGGAGGGGUUCCAACAGCCUCGUGGACAGGCCUUCUCAGCAGCUACUGAGUGCCCCCUAGGGGUGGGGAGGGGCCAGUGCACAUGGAGGCAAACCACAGAGCCCUUUUGUGGCCUAUUAUUAUGAAGAACUAAAAUGUGGCCAGUGAACCAGUCAGUGCUCAUCACUACGGGGUACUUUGACAAUGGCACAAUUUCAUUUUACCAAAAGAAACCUUCACUGGCUCUGGGGACUGCAAUAUCUUCAUUUUAAAAUAUUUUGCUGCGUUUUCUUCAAGGGCGGCUUGUGACAACUGAACUGCUGAUUAUUCCUUCCAUGGACAGCAUGGUAGUGGCAAGUGCAGUAACUGGGCUCAUUGCAUUUUCUCUUUCCAUACAAGUUACUGCAACUGCCAUGUGAUCACUUUUCCAGCAGGCUGACUUCGAUUUGAUUUUUUUCUUAUUUAAAUGUUAGAAACAUCUCAGGGCUAUUAUUAUUUAUCUACAAAGCAGAAAUCAGCCAAAGACAAAGGAAAAAAGUAAGCUAAUCAGAACCUGAAGACCUGAAAUACCACAUGAAAUGUAAACAUUUAACUUUUUAUUUCCAAAGGAUUUCUUGAAGCCUCUCUGGAGAUAAUGACAUCACCACACAUACUGUUAAACAAUCUUUUAAUACCUUUGGAAUUACUCUUUAUAAUUUUUAUACUUCAAAUUAAGAAAACCGCCCAAUGUUCAGGCAACUUUGGCAUUAACAUUUCCAAGAAAGGGACAAAAACAACUAUUAAUGCAACAUCAUGAAGAGAUUGGGGACAAUUGUGGGUGUCUAUAAAGCUCUCUUUGAAAAGCUCUUUAAAGCGAACUCAGGUAAAUGGAAAUGAAAUCUGACUUUUUACUUAGGCCAAAUAACAAUGAGGUUUGAAUAUAAAAUGGAAGAUUCAGGCCCUUUCUACCUAAGAUGAAGGCAUUUAGUUUGCUCAAAUUCAAACUCCACCAAAUACUCUGAAUGGAAAGUUUGGCAACAGAACUGGACAUGUGGAGGUUCACCAACCAUUUUGAUCAAAGGUGAUCUGAUUUUAUCUCACUUCUUGCCUAACCUUUCUGGCUUCUUUACCUUGACUAGAUGCCUGUGGCAUUAUAUAAUGAUGCAGCCCAGCAGAAGUAGGAUGCUAAUAAACCCUGGGGUAAAGCAGCAAUCAUCUGCAUUUUUACCACAUACACUUGAAUAAUCCAAAAUACUGAGAGUUGCUUCCCUAUGCUCAACAUCCAUAGGACCAAAUUUGGAAAGGUGAACUGUAGUUGGCUUAUAUGCUGGCCUUAGGUGCUCUUAUGACCUGUGCUUAGCCAUAUUUAGCUCACUGGCUAAGAGGCUGAAAAGAUUCUACCACCUUCAGGUGUGUGGGGAACAUGAACAGGAGGCUGACAAACAAGGAGGGAAGUUUCUAUUGUACCUGGUGAGUGGGUUUUAUGAAAAGAAUAUGGGUAGGGAUGAGUCAGUGAUAUUUUGGUUUUAUCACUUUUUGGAGAAACAUACAUAUAUAUACAUAAAUAGAACACAUGUUUUUAUAUCAUUUAUUGACCUGAGGCCAAAUUCUACUCGAUUUUCUACUUUCCCCCUACUAAGAGAUCCAGAAAAGCUAUUAACAUUAGAGAAUAAAGUAUUACUUCUUCUGGAAUCCUUUCUACAUACCCCUUUGUACUCUGGGAAGGUUUGAAUGUGACCAGGAAGGAGGAGAUAUCAACACAGGCUAAGUUAAUUAACGAAAAACAGCAUUCUGACUAACCUAUAGUUGAAUUUACAAAAUACACUUCAAAGCUAUGGCCUGGUACAGGGGGAGGAUGAGAUACUGCACAUAUUUUUCUCUCUCAGCCUUAUCAGGCUACCAUGGGAAAGCUAUAGACAGAGAUAUAUUAUUCUUCACCAUAAAAAGCCUGCAAACCCCAUUUUAAUUAGCCCCAAAGAACUGUGCCCUAAAAUGUAAAAUGAAAUAAAAAUCUCUGGAUAACAUAGACGACUGUGUGAAGUGAAUGCCAUCAGUUAGAGAGACCCCAAGUGUUCCCAGUUCUCCUUCUAAGUAACUUCUGGGGGGAAAAAUGAUUGCUUAGAUUUGCCUUUGCUAAUGACAGACCCCAUUUACUACGUUUUAUGCAAUUCUUCUAAACCUUUAAUUUACAAGAUGACCUCCUUGAAAUUAUUCUUCUGUGCUCGAGUGUCAUAUGAUCUAAACCUGAACACAUGGAUCUCUAAAGUUAAUUUUAGCCAUUGAGAGGACUUGCCCCAGACACUAAAGCAAGCUAAAUAUGUUCAUAUUUUAAUUAAGAAACUUUUACCUUCUCAAAAUUUUCAGCUGUAAUAUGCUAUUACCUUAUACAUAUACUUGCAUUUUAGCAGAUGUUCUGGAGACUAACAAGUCCUUUUAUGAUUGUUCUUACAAACUCAACCAUCCACAAAUUACACUCCUAGACAUAUGCCUGUUUUGUGAAAUAAAAUAACAAGGCUCUAAAAGCAGAAUUAUUUGCAUCGUUUUCUCAAUAAACAAGCAGAUGUAUUUCUAAGCCUCUUCAAUUAUUACUAAGGACCAUAACAGAAACAUAUUAUUUUGUAAAUAAGUAGGGCAAGAUAUAAUAUUACGGUAAGAAUUUUUUGGUUGGGAACAUUCUUUUAACUAUUAACCCACAGAUUGCAAAUUGUGGGCAAAAAGCUUUAAUUUUUUCCAAGAAUUGAAUUAAAUGUGAAUGGUUCUGAGCAGGAUACGCACUCUCUGGUGUUUCUGCACGCUUGUUAGCAUUUCUGCUGUUGUCUUCACAGCCCUGAUUCACACAUUUAUAUUAUGGCAUUUUUGUUUGGGGUUCGUUCUAAGUGAUGGCCUUCUUGAUUUAUGAAGGGUUUUAUAAUCCCUUUUUCCUCUUACUAAAAGUUAGAAGAAGAGAUAAAAUCUUUGGCUGACAUAUGGUUUUCUUAUCUGUACAUAAAUAACACUGCUAUGUAGGAGACUUAUGGAAACUUAUUCUUCAGUAAUUUUCCUCAUUGUUGAUAUUGCCAUUGUCCAAUAGAAUUUUUCAUUUUUCCAGAAACAGCCCCAUUUGAAAAAAAUUCCUGGAAACCAAAGAAGCAUUGUAGUGUAAUGCUGCUCAGUGUUUAGUAACAGGAAAGUCAUCUGGAUUACGUUUAAGGAGAAAAGCAAAGGGUAAAAUAGUCUUUCUCCCAUUGGCUUUAUUUUGCUCAGCAAAAUAAAAACAUCAACAUCAAGUACUAGAUAGGGCUUUUUCUUGAAAGCUGGUUGCAUUAAAGUGCUCUGCACUGCACAGGUAAUCUUUAUCAACUCUUGAAAUAUUUUUUUGUCCCCAAAUAUAGUUAACUUCUUUCUUUUAUAACAUAAGACUGCACUAAUUAUAGGGUAGUGGCAAAACCUGGCUGAAAUCAGUUGCUCUCUUUAUGUUAUUCCCAGAACACAGGACAAAUUCCCAUUCUUAACAGUGAUUUCCUUGUUUAUAACUAUGAGCUUCAGUGAAUAUCCUCCUUCAAAAUCAGAGCACUGACCUCAUCACAGAGAAAAACAAACAAACAAACAAAUACACUCUGCAACCUACAAGGUUAACCCUCAACUAGCUCACACCCAUUGAAGAAAUCUUGGCUGUGUGCACAAGAAAUGAAAUCUAUUUCAAAGCAAUUUAAUACAAAACCAUUCAAAAAAGUUCUCCAAUAACCAUCUUCUUUAAUUUGAACUGCUAAUUGAACAUGAAGAGUGAAAAUUAAACACCUAGUUCGUCCGGUUUAAAUGGUCACUAAGACUGUAUAGGCAAUUUCAAAAUGGGCACUGUAACUAAAAGAAAGCAAACCUAUUUAGAGCUGAACGAGACUCUUGCACUGGGUUUUGCUUGCUCUAAGUGACAAAGUAAGCUGAUGCUCAUAGCACAUUGGACUACAGCAAGAGAAAGGGGGAGAAGCAGAUGGAGCAUCUCCUUCACUGUCAUGAGCCCAGUGAGUAAAAGGAGUGAGGAAACCCUCUUUUGUCCACAGAUUUACAAAUACAAAAAAAUAAAUAAUAUUCUAAGACAGUACAAAUGCAAAUACUGUUCCCUUGUGUCAAUUACAUACAGCAUGCCUACAAAGAGAGAAUGGUAAUUCUUCUUCAUUCACAGACAGGACACAUGGCAGUGCACUAUUCAAAAUGCUUUGAUAAUCUUAAUUUUUGUUUCUGGUGCUGAGAUAUUAUGAAAGGAACUGCAUUUGCAACUUAUUAAAUACUUCCAGGAACAAAUAGUUCACUUUGCUUGGGACUUGUAGUUUUGAGUAAUUAAUCAUCCAUGGAGCAGGAGCCAGUCAGGAGAUACCCGUUGGUACCACUGGUCCCAUUGGUGGUUGUCGCAGUGUGGGGAUUCUUUCCCGGAGGUUCUGAGUCCUCCUCAUCUGAGCUAGACUCAAUAUCACUUCGAUCAUCCUUGGACACCUGUGGAGUAGAAGCAGGUGAGUAUAACCAGCACCUAAGAAAUCAUCAAGGUAUGGCAUGCUAGAAGCAC